rfam:Stegodyphus mimosarum contig26343, whole genome shotgun sequence.
GCCUUCGUGGUGUAGUGGUCUGCACGCUUGACGCGUAACCGAGAGGUCCGUGGUUCGAUUCCCGGCGAAGGCG